AGGUGUUCAGGUGGCCAUGGACCAAUCCCUGGCCAAAGGUCCGGGUCAUGUCAGCGUGCUCAGUUGUUUCCCACAAUCUGUGGGCAGAGAAGUGGCCGUUGCCGUGGUAACACACCUGGGAGCAGAGCUGGGGAACCCCAACACCCCCAGUCUGCUCUGUACGGACAUCCAGGUGAAGUGGACGAUGGAAGUCCUCUGUUACGGCCUCACUCUGCCGCUGGACAGAGACACGGUCAAACUCUGUGUGGACAUCUACACGGAUUGGCUGAUGGCUCUGGUUUCUCCGAGAAGGUCCACCCCUCCACCGGUCAGCAGAGACCCCAACCAGUACGUCCAGAGGAUCCUCCGACACCUGAGCCUGCUGUUCCUGCCCAGGUCAGACCAGGUGAGUCUGGUCCACUGGUCUCUCUGCCAGCAGGUACUGGGUGCUGUCCGCUCGCUGGCCCGAGAGAGCAGGACGAUGAGCAAAGAAACCUGGGAGACUGUGCUCCAAUUCCUGCUCCGCAUGAACCACGCCCUGCUGGCUCCGCCCAGCACUGCAGCAGCAGCCGUCUCCGACCGGUCCAUGGCCGUGCUGAUGGAGGUGUGGCUACUGGCCUGCUCCAGGUGUUUUCCCUCUCAUGCCAUGUGGCAGACGUGCAGACAGAUGUUGAGCAGCUGCCGGCACCAGCCGGCCGUGGUGCAGCAGUGGAGCCGAGCAGCAGCAGGCCUAACGUCCAGGCUGCUACCUCUGACCUUCGGCCCGUUCUUCCCACCCUUCAGAGUUCCAGAUGAAGACGCUGCCCUUGUCCCUGCAGACAUGGAGGACGAGCGCAUCCCUCAGACCUGGCUCCGCUUCCUCCACAUUUUCAGUAACCCAGCAGACCUCAGACGCCUGGAUGUUGGUGCAGUGACUCCGCCCCCAAAGGGGGAGGAGUCAGGAGGAGAGGGCCGGCUGCCAGACAUCUUCUACCGAGCCCUGAAGAGGCUCAGCGAGCUGGUCGACGCCUUCCUGGGUGUGUUUGUGGAACCGGGAGAACCAGUAAAGCAGUUUCUGCCAAAUCUAGGUGUAGGGAGGAUUCACGUCAGAGACCGGCUGCCUUCUCUUGGUGUUCCUAGCAACAGAAGUCCGUUCAGAGACCGCCCCCCUGCAUACGGGUUCUCCCGUCCUCGUUCUGGAAGUGCCCCACCCGUUCCUGUGAAUAUCCAGAGGUUGCCUGAUGCCCCCCCCUCCAGAACCUCCCCCCCACAACGCAAGAAAAGCUUGAGAGCAGCCAAUGUUCCCACGGCAACAAACAAGCCCACAGUGAUGUCUUCCUCCUGCUUCCUUGCUUCCCUUCCCUUCCCGGGUUCUCGCCGACCCCGUCCCUCCCCGCUCAGGUGUAAUGUGGACUCCCUCCUCCACCUGUUCGGCUGCUGGCUGUUUGAUGCUGCUCUGAUCAGUGCAGACUCCGAGAUCUGCAGACAAAAUGAUGUGACACGAUGGGCAGCAGGUCGAGCCGAGGCCUUUGGGACGCUCUGCAGGAUCUUCUCCUGGAAGAAGACUGCAGAAGAAAUUCAGCCUGUCUACCUGUCCAGGUUCUACCUGGUGCUUCUUCAGAGUCUCCAGAUGUCAGAGGAGGUGUGUGCUCCUGUUCUGGCCUCCAUCCUUAUGAACUCCACCAGUCUGUUCUGCUGUGACUUAAAAGGGGUCAAUCUGUUGCUGCCGCCCUUCAUCAGUGCUCUGGAGAAGGUCCUGCUCCACAGAGAUCCGGUGAACUUUCAAGGUUGUGCCAGUCCAGUGGAUUUGAGGCGGGCCUCCAUCUUCAUCCUGCUGUCUCUGCUACCUCUCCCCCUGCAGUUCGGAUCUGUGCCAUCACAGGUCUCACUGAACGGGGGGUUGAAUGCCGAUGACGUCACAGCAGGGAACUUCCUGUCUCUGAGGCCCCGUCUCAUCAGUCUCCUCAUCGGAGCGUUGCAGACGGAGACGAACACCUGCAACACUCAGCUCCUUCUGGCGGCCGCUUUAAACCUGGUCCAGGACUUAGCUGCAGGACAGUCUCGCCAGGAAACCAGGACCCAUAAUGAUGGAGCCAUUGGUGCUGGAAGGUCCAGCGGAACCAGUUCAGACAGAGUGGUUAAAGUAGACUCCAGUUCUCUCCUCUGGAUUCACGUUGUGCGUUGGGUGAGUCAGUGUCUGACGUCUCACUGGAGGAACGACCCUGCAGUUUGUCUGUCAGCCCUGGAAGUGCUGGGAGGACUGGCAAAGGUGGAUGUGCAGGUGGAGGAUGCGGAGAGGAGGUGUGUGGUACGAUCUGUCUGUACGUACAUUGAGUUUCAAUGCAGUCGUCCUCAUCCUCUUCACUCCAGAGAUCUGCACUCCAUCAUCGUUGCUGCUUUCUUCUGUCUGAACACCUGGCUGACUCAGCACCCGGCCCUGCUGGAUAAUCAGGCGUGUCUGCUGGAGGUCUUGGACAUUGUGGAAUUGGGAAUAUCAGGCAGGAAGUCCAAACAGGAAGAGGAUAUCUGGAAUAAAGAGAAGAAGGAACUGAAUCCAGCCUCUUUGAGAGUGAAGGAGGCAGCUGAGGCCACUCUCACCUGUGUGAUGCAGGUUUCAGGGGCGUGUCCAUGCAUCGAUAUGUCAGGGAAUAAAGACACUUUCAUUGGCUUUCACCGACUGAGGGACGUCAGCCUGACAAAGUACUUCGUACUGGAACGUUCUGUGAUCUUAGCGAUGUUGGAGGAAGGACCCGGACCUGAGAAGACUCUGCAUCCAUCGCUGACAGUGGUGAUCAGAGGACCGUCAGGGUGUCACACAUGGUCUCUGCAACUCCACCUGCAGCCGCGAGCAGAGCGAACCUGCACACAGUUCCAGCAGACCCUGGUCCCAGUUCAUCGUAUUGUACACCAGGAGGAUGCUGAGAGGACAUCUGGUGUUAAAUAUCAACUGUAUCCUGACAUAGGCCCAUCAGUUAAAGCUGAUCUGAGUAUUCCAGUUCUGCAAGAAACUGUUACUGAGGAGGUCCAGCUGGAGUUUGAAUGUCUGAAAGCAGCCUUGAAGAAUCAACAACGCUUUGAGGCUCAAGUACAGACGACUGGUCGUUUUGCUGACAUAGCGACGUGCAAACCACAGCCCCCAGUCUCCUACUUCCAGGUGGCAAGACUCUUCCUGUCCCACAUGGGCCUGCUGACACCGGAGAGCAUCAAGGACCUGGGUGUUGGUGGUGUCCUACCUCAGCUCAUGUCUCUGGAUCCCUCUCUUCCUGGUUUCUGUGAGAGCUUGAGAAGCUUGGAUGAGCUACCGUCCCAAACCCGUGAUUCUGCCUUUGUCUUUUAUGUGAGAGCGGGACAGAGGACUGCCGCUGAGAUUUUGAGGAAUGUGGACAACAGUUGCAGCGUUCAGCCUUACUUCCUGGACUUCCUGUCAUCUCUCGGUCGUCCAGUGGAUGUGGAGAAACGGCGGGUGGGCGGGGCCAACGCCAGCAGAGCAGAAUUCCAUGUUGUUCUGGGCGACAGUGGAGGUGCUGUGUUUGACGGACGGAAGUUUGUUCUAAUGUUCAAGGACGCUCUGGCUGAGAUCGCCUUCAUCGUCCCAUCAACCCUCACUUACACUUUUUGGCUGAACAGUUCAGAGGUGGAGCCACCGACUGAGUCGCCAUCUACCCAACAACAUCACUAUGAAGGCAGCCCAGAGUCCGGCCCCACAUCCACUCCUUGUCCAGGUGAAGACAGGAAGACUCGUUGUUACAUGUCACCAUUUGUCAGUUCUGACUCUAAACUGCUGGUUGUUUGGGUUGAAUCCUUCCAGGACAUUGAGGGCUUUCCUCUGUCUGAUCUACUGCCAGAGACAAACACACGGACUGAGAUGAGGUGAAACUCACAACACCUCCACUUAAUACUUGAACAAUGUGGAUAUUCACAAAGUCCCUCUGUCCUUCAAUCUUUGUCAUAGCCUGUCAAAUAUCCACCUGAUAUUCAUCCACCCUCUGAAAACUGGGCUCUACCGAAUCUGUUUCCAUGGAGACGCCACCAGCAAGCUUGGUUUGGUCAUGCCAUUGGUCAAUGGGAGCAUAGUCAGCAAGAGAUCUCUGGGUUUCCUGCUCAGAGAGAUGGUGAUGAACUGUUGUCAGCGGCGACGGUUGGAGAGCGACUUUGCCCCUCUGCCUCAUGUCAAAAGGAAACACAUUAUCAGUGAUAUCAUCCUUCGCUACAGCAGUCGCCACUCUGAACCCGCCUUCUACUCCGCCCUGUUCCAACCGCUCUGACCUGUUACCAUAGCAACUUGAUGUUUUAUCUAGUGCUGUCAAGUGAUUAAAAAAUUGAGAGAUCAAUUGAUUAAGAUCUGUAAUUAAUUAAUCUAAUUAAUCUCUUUUUUAAUCUCACCUAAAAAUAGCUGAGAAAAGCUUACUUGAGGUGUUUUCCUUUAAAUGCAUUACAUUAUUGUGGCAGAUCAAAAGAUUGAUAUAUA